GUCCCUGUAGGGCAAUGGAUAGCGCGUUGAACUUCUAAUCCAAUUUCGUGGAUUAGAAUCCCAUCUGGUAUG